GUCUUUGCACGCGGUAUAAAAGCUGUCUGCUGAGUGAAUCAAUCUCACACGAGUUCACUUUCUCAGAAGCAGAUACCCUUGCUUUGUCCGGAACACACAAGCCAACUAGAACCUCCAACAUGGGUGACAAACCAGAUGUAAAAGUUGUCGAGACAUUCGACAAGUCAAAGUUGAAGAAGACGGACACUGACGAGAAGAACAAACUACCGACCGCAGAAACAAUUGCAGCAGAAAAGACUGCCUUAGGUAUUUAGUACCAGUAGUUGGCUAAUUAUUCCAAAAUGUUUCUACAAAUUAGUCUUUGUUUUUCAUAGUAUACGUUGGUUAAAGGGUCAGGUUUUUGUUUAACACUGUUUUGACAGGAGGCAAGUCAAUCACACUGUUUUGUUCAUCGUAUAUGCAGAGAAUGUUUUGACAUUGUUACGCCUGUUCUUGUUACUUUCCAAAGUACUUGGUAAUUCAACGAGUAGCAUGUACAAUAAACAGUGGACUACCAAUAUACCAAUGUUAUUAUAGGCACCUUGUAAUUUUCGAAUUUAAUACUGCAGUGCAAGGCAUGGGUUAUUUGGCAUUAUGGAUUUUGUAGUGGGUGUAAUGCACUAUUUUGGUGUAAUAAAGUCGGAAACCAUCUUUGAGAGACUUUGUUAGUCUUUGCAGAACCGAUGACAAGCCAGUUAGGC